UUGACUGAACUUGACAAGUCGCUUCGGUUUGAUUACUGUUUUGAUGGAUUUAAUUUAUUGAAAAGUUGAAGCAGUUGGUGAUACGUAUACUCUCGCACGUUUUGUACAAAAACAAAUUUGUUUGCAUUGUUCAGAGAUAUUGUCAACGAAUAUAGAAAACGAGGAUAUAGAGGUCCUCAAAAGCAUUGUAUUGAAAAAAGGGUUCUAUGUUUCUUCCAGAUGAAUCGAAAUGCACAGAUAAUGUUUGAAAAAAAAAAGGAUUUAUUCAUCCUUACAGAAUUGACUCUAUGAAGUGGAUAUCUUUGAAAUCGUGCGAAUGCUGAAUAUCCACCUACUCAACUUGAAUUAAAGUGAAUGUUCACGAAAUCCUAUAGCACCACCAUGAAUAUAACACAGUUCUCAAAGAAACUUCCAACAGACAAGUUAUUUUUUAUGUAUUAAAUAAAUUCAGAGUUUAUGUAGAGCUUAGAAGAUAAA